rnacentral:tRNA from 1 species
GAUGGCUCAGUGGUUAAGAGCACUGACUGCUCUUCCAGAGGUCUUGAGUUCAAUUCCCAGCAACCUCA